UUCAGUUGUGAUGAUGAUACAUUUUUUUCCCAGCUCAUUAUGAGACCUUAUUAGUUAAGGUCCGGGAAUAUACUCCAUUUCCAACAGAUAUAUCUGAGCUUCGCA
rfam:Capsicum annuum cultivar Zunla-1 chromosome 8, whole genome shotgun sequence